ensembl:snRNA Gm23677 predicted gene, 23677
GUGCUUGCUUUGGUAGUACAUAUACUAAAAUCGGAACACAGAGAAUAUUAGCAUGGCCCCUGCGCAAGGAUGGCAUGCAAAUUAGUGAAGUGUUCCAUAUUUUC